rnacentral:rRNA from 1 species
AACACGUGGGAACGUACCCUUUGGUUCGGAACAACUCAGGGAAACUUGAGCUAAUACCGGAUGUGCGAAAGGAAAGAUUCGCCAAAGGAUCAGCCCGCGUUCGAUUAGCUAGUUGGCGGGGUAAUGGCCCACCAAGGCGACGAUCGAUAGCUGGUCUGAGAGGACGAUCAGCCACACUGGGACUGAGACACGGCCCAGACUCCUACGGGAGGCAGCAGUUGGGAAUCUUGGACAAUGGGCGAAAGCCUGAUCCAGCCAUGCCGCGUGAGUGAUGAAGGCCUUAGGGUUGUAAAACUCUUUCGGCGGGGACGAUUGACGGUACCCGCAGAAGAAGCUCCGGCUAACUUCGUGCCAGCAGCCGCGGUAAUACGAAGGGGGCUAGCGUUGUUCGGAAUUACUGGGCGUAAAGCGCGCGCAGGUGGCUCUCCAAGUCAGUGGUGAAAGCCCGGAGCUCAACUCCGGAAUUGCCAUUGAAAC